AACUCACUUAGAGUAAUGUCUAAGUAUCAUUAAGUGAAUACAUAGCUUAAUGAGGGGAACUCAGGGAACUGAAACAUCUAAGUACCUGAAGGAAGAGAAAGAAAUUCGAUUCCGUAAGUAGCGGCGAGCGAACGCGGAUUAGCCCAAACCAAUAAAGUUUUCUUUAUUGGGGUUGCGGACAUAUCAUAACGAAGAGGUAUCGUAAUUGAAGAGGUUUGGAAAGACCCACCACAGAAGGUAAUAGUCCUGUAUGUUAAACGAGAAGACUUYAGAUAUGAUCCAGAGUACCACGGGACACGUGAAACCCUGUGGGAAGCAGGAGGGACCACCCUCCAAGGCUAAAUACUACCUAGUGACCGAUAGCGUAUAGUACCGUGAGGGAAAGGUGAAAAGAACCCCGGGAGGGGAGUGAAAUAGAACCUGAAACCCUGCACUUACAAGCUGUGGAAGCACAUUUCUUGUGUGACCGCGUACUUUUUGUAGAACGGGCCAACGAGUUACGUUAAGUAGCAAGGUUAAGCACUUAAGGUGYGGAGCCGUAGCGAAAGCGAGUUUUAACUGAGCGUUCAGUUACUUGACGUAGACCCGAAACCGGGCGACCUACCCAUGAGCAGGAUGAAGCGAAAGUAAAAUUUCGUGGAGGUCCGAACCCACGAGCGUUGAAAAGCUCGGGGAUGACUUGUGGGUAGCGGUGAAAUUCCAAUCGAGCCCGGAGAUAGCUGGUUCUCCCCGAAAUAGCUUUAGGGCUAGCCUCAAGGUGAGAGAUACGGAGGUAGAGCACUGAAUGUCCUAGGGGGUAUUGCACCUACCGAAGACUAUCAAACUCCGAAUGCCGUCAUCUUAUACUUGGGAGUCAGACUGUGGGUGAUAAGAUUCAUAGUCGAAAGGGCAACAGCCCAGAUCGUCAGCUAAGGUCCCUAAAUGUAAGUUAAGUGGUAAAGGAUGUGGGAUUGCACAGACAACCAGGAUGUUGGCUUAGAAGCAGCCACUCAUUCAAAGAGUGCGUAAUAGCUCACUGGUCGAGUGAUCCUGCGCCGAAGAUUUCCGGGGCUAAAACUUACUACCGAAGCUACGGCAUCAGUAAUGAUGGGUAGGGGAGCUUCCCAUACGGGUUGAAGCAUGACCGUAAGGACAUGUGGACAGUAUGGGAGUGAGAAUGUUGGCAUGAGUAGCGAGAUGUGGGUGAGAAUCCCACAGGCCGUAAACCCAAGGUUUCCAGGGGAAGGUUCGUCCGCCCUGGGUUAGUCGGGACCUAAGCUGAGGCCGAAAGGCGUAGGUGAUGGACAACAGGUUGAUAUUCCUGUACUACCGAUAACCGUUUGAGAGAAGGGAUGACACAGUAGGAUAAGCUAAGCACACUGUUGGUUAUGUGUGCCCAAGCAUUGAGGCAGUCAAAGUAGGCAAAUCCGCUUUGAUAAUGCUGGGAUGUGAUGGGGAGCGAAAUUUAGUAGCGAAGUAGCUGAUUUCACACUGUCAAGAAAAGUCUCUAUCGAGGUUAAAGGUACCCGUACCGCAAACCGACACAGGUGGGUGAGGAGAGUAUCCUAAGGCCAGCGAGAGAACUGUUGUUAAGGAACUCGGCAAAAUGACCCCGUAACUUAGGGAUAAGGGGUGCCACCAUCAGGUGGCCGCAGAGAAUAGGCCCAAGCGACUGUUUACCAAAAACAUAGGUUUCUGCUAAGUCGCAAGACGAUGUAUAGGAGCUGACGCCUGCCCGGUGCUGGAAGGUUAAGGGGAUCUGUUAGAGCAAUCGAAGCAGUGAACUUAAGCCCCAGUAAACGGCGGCCGUAACUAUAACGGUCCUAAGGUAGCGAAAUUCCUUGUCGGGUAAGUUCCGACCCGCACGAAAGGCGUAACGAUUUGGGCACUGUCUCAACAACAGACUCGGUGAAAUUGUAAUUCCGGUGAAGAUGCCGGAUACCUGCGACAGGACGGAAAGACCCCAUGGAGCUUUACUGUAGCUUGACAUUGGGUCUUGGUACUACAUGUACAGGAUAGGUGGGAGGCUUUGAAACCAGGACGCCAGUUUUGGCGGAGCCAUCCUUGGGAUACCACCCUUGUAGUACUGGGACUCUAACCAUAGGCCAUGAAUCUGGUCUUGGGACACUGUCAGGUGGGCAGUUUGACUGGGGCGGUCGCCUCCCAAAAGGUAACGGAGGCGCUCAAAGGUUCUCUCAGUACGGUCGGAAAUCGUACGUAGAGUGUAAAGGCAAAAGAGAGCUUGAUUGCAAGACAUACAGGUCGAGCAAGGAUGAAAAUCGGACUUAGUGAUCCGGUGGUUCUGCGUGGAAGGGCCAUCGCUCAACGGAUAAAAGCUACCCUGGGGAUAACAGGCUUAUCUCCCCCAAGAGUCCACAUCGACGGGGAGGUUUGGCACCUCGAUGUCGGCUCAUCACAUCCUGGGGCUGUAGUAGGUCCCAAGGGUUGGGCUGUUCGCCCAUUAAAGUGGUACGCGAGCUGGGUUCAGAACGUCGUGAGACAGUUCGGUCCCUAUCCGUCGCAGGCGUAG
rnacentral:rRNA from 1 species